AGAGUUUGAUCCUGGCUCAGAACGAACGCUUGGCGGCGUGCUUAACACAUGCAAGUCGAACGCGAAAAGUUUUCUUCGGAAGACGAGUAGAGUGGCGCACGGGUGAGUAACGCGUAAGUUAUCUACCUCGGCAUCUGGAAUAACUCACCGAAAGGUGUGCUAAUACCGGAUACGUUGAGAAAUCAAGAAAGGUGGCCUCUGAAUAUGCUACUGUGCUGAGAUGAGCUUGCGUACCAUUAGCUAGUUGGUAGGGUAAUGGCCUACCAAGGCAACGAUGGUUAGNGGGUCCGAGAGGAUGAUCCGCCACACUGGAACUGGAACACGGACCAGACUCCUACGGGAGGCAGCAGUGAGGAAUAUUGCGCAAUGGGGCAACCCUGACGCAGCGACGCCGCGUGGAUGAUGAAGGCCCUUGGGUCGUAAAAUCCUGUCAGAUGGAAAGAAAUGUACAGGUGUUAAUAUCGCCUGUAUUUGACGGUACCAUCAAAGGAAGCACCGGCUAACUCCGUGCCAGCCGCCGCGGUAAUA
rnacentral:rRNA from 1 species